GCAAGCCUGACCCAGCCAUGCCGCGUGCAGGAUGACAGCCCUACGGGUUGUAAACUGCUUUUAUACGGGAAAAAACCCUCUGACGUGUCAGAGGCUGAUGGUACCGUAAGAAUAAGCAUCGGCUAACCCCGUGCCAGCAGCCGCGGUAAUACGGAGGAUGCAAGCGUUAUCCGGAUUUACUGGGUUUAAAGGGUGCGUAGGCGGCCAUUUAAGUCAGCGGUGAAAUUUUGCAGCUUAACUGUAACAGUGCCGUUGAUACUGUUUGGCUAGGAUUUGGUUGUAGUGUGCGGAAUGUGUGGUGUAGCGGUGAAAUGCUUAGAUAUCACACAGAACACCGAUUGCGAAGGCAGCACACUAAGUCAUUAUUGACGCUGAGGCACGAAAGUGUGGGGAUCAAACAGGAUUAGAUACCCUGGUAGUCCACACUGUAAACGAUGAUAACUCGCUGUCGGCGAUACACAGUCGGUGGCCAAGCGAAAGCAUUAAGUUAUCCACCUGGGGAGUACGACCGCAAGGUUGAAACUCAAAGGAAUUGACGGGGGCCCGCACAAGCGGAGGAACAUGUGGUUUAAUUCGAUGAUACGCGAGGAACCUUACCCGGGCUCGAACGGUGCAUGAAUAUACGAGAGAUUGUAUAGUCCUUCGGGACAUGUAUCGAGGUGCUGCAUGGUUGUCGUCAGCUCGUGCCGUGAGGUGUCGGCUUAAGUGCCAUAACGAGCGCAACCCUUGUCAUUAGUUGCCAUCAGGUCAAGCUGGGGACUUUAAUGAGACUGCCACCGUAAGGUGUGAGGAAGGGGGGGAUGACGUCAAAUCAGCACGGCCCUUAUGUCCGGGGCGACACACGUGUUACAAUGGGAGGUACAGAGGGCAGCUAUCCGGUGACGGAAUGCUAAUCUCCAAAACCUUUCUCAGUUCGGAUUGGAGUCUGCAACUCGACUCCAUGAAGGUGGAUUCGCUAGUAAUCGCGCAUCAGCCAUGGCGCGGUGAAUACGUUCCCGGGCCUUGCACACAGCGCCCGUCAAG
rnacentral:rRNA from 1 species